GUAGGAACUAGGAAGUGAUACUUGAAUAGAAUGAGCCGACCUAUGGAAUGGAUACUAAAUGACCUAAGAAGACCACAGAGGUAACAAUCAUCAAAAGUAGGAAGAAGGACGAAGGUAGGGGACCAUAAACAUAGUGUAAAUAAUAAUAGGAUACAUUUUCAUAUAAGACGUAUAGUAGCAGAAGCUUAUAACAAGCUUGGCUUUUGAGUAGAAAGAGACGUCAUAUAUUGCCAUAUCCUCGAAGAAUUGUCUUGAAAAAGGGGGUCUCACGGAGAUAGCACAACGAUAUGAUAUCGUCCCAAACCUAAGAAAACCUUAUUCAUUUUUACCCCUUCCUCCUUCUUGAGAGCUACAUCUUUAUAUGUACGUUGGUUAAUUUCUUUAGUUGACGUUUGAUCAUCAUAUUAGAUGUGAAGUAUGUUUUUUUUUUCUUAACGAAAAAAAAAAGAAAAGAAGUAUUUUUUCUCGCCAAGAGUGUCAAAGAAAAUAAGGAGUUGCUCAUAUAAAUAUGUUAAUGUCGGUUUGAGAGUGCUAAUUUUUUUG